AUGGGGAACUCGCUCGGGUGCUCCGCGUCCGGCGAGCGGCUGGUGUCCGCGGCGCGGGACGGGGACGCCGUCGAGGCGCGCAUGCUGCUCGAGCUCAGCCCGGCGCUCGCGCGCUACUCCACCUUCGGCGGCCUCAACUCCCCGCUCCACUUCGCCGCCGCCAAGGGCCACCUCGACAUUGUGACGCUGCUGCUGGAGAAGGGCGCGGAUGUGAACGCGCGGAACUACUGCGGCCAGACUGCAUUGAUGCAUGCAUGCCGACAUGGACACUGGGAGGUGGUUCAGAUGCUUCUGCUCUUCAGAUGCAAUGUUACCAGGGCGGAUUACUUGAGUGGUCGAACGGCAUUGCACUUUGCAGCACACGACGGACUUGUUCGGUGUGUAAGGCUGUUACUUGCCGACUUCAUCCCAAGUGGGCCCUUGGAGGAUACUGCCUCUUCGGUGGCAGAUGGCGGUGAUUCUCAGAUGAAUAGCGGCAGCAGUCCUACUUCUUCACUGGGACUCAAGUUUAAUGAACCUGCUCGUGUGAGGUACAUCAACAAACCUGCUGAUGGCGGUGUUACCGCUCUUCACAUGGCAGCUUUGAAUGGUCAUUUCGAUUGCAUGCAAUUGUUGAUUGAGUUAGGUGCAAAUGUCUCAGCUGUCACAUUUCCAUACGGAACUACAUCAAAUUUGAUAGGAGCUGGCAGUACUCCUUUGCAUUAUGCAGCCGGUGGGGGCAGUCUGGAGUGUUGUCAGGUACUUCUUUCAAAAGGUGCUAGCAGGUUGACACUCAACUGCAAUGGGUGGCUUCCCAUGGAUGUUGCUAGGAUAUUUGGACGCCGUUGCUUGGAGCCAUUACUUUCUCCAAAUUCACACACGAUUAUUCCAGCAAUUCAGCCAUCCAGUUAUCUUGCCUUGCCACUGAUGAGCAUACUUAAUAUAGCCAGAGAAUUUGGGUUGCAACACACCGUAUCCUCGGUGGAUGAGAGUGACCUUUGUGCAGUUUGCCUGGAACGGUCUUGCUCUGUAGCUGCUGAAGGCUGUGGUCACGAGUUCUGCAUCAAAUGCGCUCUCUAUCUUUGCUCAACCAGCAACGUCCGUGUGGAGUUCACAGGCCCAGCUGGGUCAAUCCCAUGCCCUCUCUGCAGGAAUGGAAUAAUGUCAUUCACUAAGCUGCCGAGCACACCGACAGAAGGGCUCAAAUCAAGCUCAGCACUCACAUUCUGCAAUCCGUGCAUUUUGAAUACCCGUUCUGUGGACUCCCCAGCAACUGUCUGUAAAGCUGAAAUCAGGCGCAACCGUGUGGCAGCUCUCUCUUCCGAGUUGGUCUGUCCACUGACAUGCAGCCCAUUUCCGUCGUCCGCCCUCCCAACCUGCAGGUGCAGUGACGACGAUCCAUGCGGCUCAACAGAAACGCUGGAUGGCUCCGAGGUGCAAUCUCCACGGCCCUCGCACAGCACAAGCACAGAGCUGGAUAAGAGGGGAGAGCAGGACGUUGACCGGACCACCUGCUCAGGCAUGUUCUGGAGUCGCAGAAGCUGUCAGAGGGAGCAGCAGUGCAAUGCGGAAAUCAAUGCUUGA
rnacentral:rRNA from 1 species